GCAAGUGUUGGUAGGGGGAUGAAAACUGCUGAUGGCAGAAUAGCCAUGGUAUCCAGAGCCCACAAUUUAGGUGAAACUCUACUAACCAGGCAUAUUUCUGGAAGCUAUGCUAUUUGACUGGGAUGAUCACCUACCCAGGAUGUCCAUCUCUGGAUUAUUUUCCAAGCACUGCUGCUGCAUUUAGAGUGGUCUGGGCGAUUAUUCCUUUCCUGAUGAAAAUAACUCCCCUGCAUCUGAAAAAGUACAUAACUGUUUUGAAAGACGUGCAGCCUGAAAGAAUCCCUUAAACACAGCCAGAAUCACAAGCUAUUUGACUGACUGAUGGUUUGAUAGGUGGCAUGAAGUUGACUGCUGAACCCCUUAUACAAAAGCCAUCAUGAAUCAUCUCAAGGUGAAGGAGAAAAGCUUAUAAUAAUUUCUAGAAUGAAGGAAGAUGACAACAACCACUGCCGGCCUAUUGGACUUCAGCUUUCUUCUCAGUCUACCAAGGCCACUCUGGGCAGUUUACCUCCAGCAAUCCAGUUAAGGUAUCCAUUAGCAUCGGCCCUGCUGACUCCAGAUUCUGAAAGGCUAAAGGUCUCCUUUUCCCGACAUAAAGCUAGGCAAGUCUGCUUGCCAUGAUACAAUGACAGGUCAAGUGCU